rnacentral:lncRNA from 1 species
AGGAAUAGAGACCGGGUUAAGUGUAGGAAUAGAGACCGGGUUAAGGGUAGGAAUAGUGGAAUGGUUAGGGGUAGGAAUAGAGACCGGGUUAAGGGUAGGAAUAGUGGAAUGGUUAAGGGUAGGAAUAGAGACAGGGUUAAGUGUAGGAAUAGAGACAGGGUUAAGGGUAGGAAUAGUGGAAUGGUUAAGGGUAGGAAUAGAGACCGGGUUAAGGAUAGGAAUAGUGGAAUGGUUAAGGGUAGGAAUAGAGACAGGGUUAAGUGUAGGAAUAAAGACAGGGUUAAGGGUAGGAAUAGUGGAAUGGUUAGGGGUAGGAAUAGAGCUAUGGGUUACUUUUUUCUGUGACAUCUUCCUGUGACUAUUUUUGCUGGAUUUGUUAACUAUCCUCUGGCAUGUAGUUUAAUUCUCUCUCACAGAAAUAGAUGAUAGAACACACAAUACUUUCUGACUGUAGACUAAAUGCAAAGGAAAAUAAAAAAGGCACAAACUGUUCUCUGAAUUACAUUUCACCCUCUCCAUUAAUGUGUUAAUCACUAAAAGCAGCAAGAAAAUAAUUGAACCAAUUUCUAUACACUGUACAAAAUUCUUAGAACUAUCUGUACAUUGUUCUACUACAGUUAGGCAACAUGUACAUUUCAAUAAAGUACAUAGUAAAAUAUGGGUCUGUAACAAAAGGUAGCAAACAGCAUUUAACCGUCUGAGUGCCACAGGUAUGUACAAUGCUUUGCAAUCCACAGGCACUCAAAGUGUUAACAGUACAUUGUGUUCGUGACCUAAUGGAGAAAGUAACACCAUGGGAAUUCUCAAACACAGCAGAUUAGAAUUAAUGGCAAAUCGAAUUGAAAGAUUUAGGAAACGGCAAAUGAUUUGGAAAGAUUCUCAAACUAUAACCAAAGUGUGACUAAUUCAGGCUUAAUUUCCAAAUUUAGUUGUUUUCAGUCCACUGUUGACUGUUUAGCAUAGGCUAGAAUGCCACAUCUAAGCCCCUGUGUGAGUACAUUGUACCUUUAUACAUCUUUACUAUGCAUUUACCUGUUUUACUAGGUUUUUAAACAAUUAGUGCACACAUAUGAGAUUAUUCGUUAGCAGAGGUUAUUUACCAAACCAGACCAAAAAAAAAGCCAAACUGAAAAAUGAACUAAUUUGAGAUUUUUUUUUUUUAAAUGUCCUAUUUCGGCGAAUUAUCUACUAUUCCAAAUUUAGUCAAUAAAUUCCCCAACCAAACUUAUUGUGAAAAUUCACAAAUUAUAGAACUAAAUAUCCAUCUGCUGCUCACUUUUUAGUAAAUAAACUCCCUCAGUUUAUUUAAAAUACAUAAACAUAUUUUCAUUGUGUUAACAAAGGCAAUAUCUAUUUUAUUCUCUCUGCUGUGGAGUGCCAGGAAAAAUAAUAUUUUGAUCCUUGUCGUGUCCAGGAAAUAAUAUGUCUUUCUGGAAGAAAUGCCAAGUAGUCAAAUGGUCUUUCAAACUCUUUUUGAUGACAUUGGCACAUGAUUAGCUGGCCUGCGCAUGGCCUGGCAGUGCACAGUUAGGUUCAGUGCUUGCCCAGACAUAGUACAGUAUAGACUUGUGCAUUCAUUUUGAUUACAUUUUCUCACUUGAUCUGUGAAUGGUGGGGAAAUUUGCCCACCAUUGUACUGCGAAAUAUAUAUUAUGUAUCCAUUUUUCAGGACGCUGGUUCAGAGAAGGGUUAAAAUCCCACAGGGCCCUAGACAGGCUUGCAGUUUGAGGCCCCCUUUCAUUCUUCAAACAUGGCUUGUUAAUGGUGCCAAUAAAAAUGUUUCCAGGACCCCUGUGUAACUCAAGGGAGCUAGGUCUAAAGUACUGCUCAUCACUGAUUGGACCAUUUUUAUGCUAUUUUAGGUUUGCCAUAACGUUUUCAUUAAUUUUCAAUUAUCAUUAUUUGGAUGAGCUGAACUGUUAAAUGAAGGAAAAUAUGAAAACCCAAAUUAAAUUUCAUUAUUGGAAAUUCUUUUGGCCAAACCAAAUAUUUUCAUAUUGCACAAGUCUAGUACAGAAUCAAUCAUUGGGCACUCAUUGACUUCCAAGAGUUUUAGAUAUUGAUAACUGAUUUAAAUACUAUUGGACUGUCAAUAUGUUUCUAUUUAUAUAAUUGGUUUAUAUGUAGUGCAGUUAUAUGUUUAUUGAACAGUUGCAUUGAGGUCUGCAAUGGAUCUAUAUCACUGGAACCAAUCACAGUCUUGUAUAAUUGCACUUUGAGAUACACCAAUACAUGCAGAGAACCUGAUUACAAAACAGCCAAGCAAUUCAUUUCUUUCUGUUUGUUAUAAAGUUCACUAUCUUAAAAAGAUGUUUUUGAAGUGACAAUUCACAGUGCAGUAUAGAAAAAAAACGUUGCUUUUAUAGCUCGUCUUGAAAGCAGUGAGAGGGCUUAAAGGGAAUUUAUAGUCCUGAAAAUAAUAAUAGUUUUUUAGGAAGGUUCCUUUCUGUGCACCCCUCCUUGUCCAUCCAUCUUAAAGUUUAAAGGAGAUUACUUACCUCACUUCCAGUGCCGAUUUCUCUGCUGCAGCCGGCCACCCAGCCUUCAAGGACAUGAUCCUGCCCGUAAAAAUCUUCCGAGUUCUUCUCCAACGCAAUGCUUCUCAAGAAGGAGGUAUGGAUUGGGAUAAGGCGUGCGCAACCAAACACUGCUUUUCUCCAAUAAAAUGUUGCCAUCCGACGCAUUUUAUUCCAGGGCCGGGUUUCACUUGCUUCUGGAGAAGGAAGUUCCUGUCUUCCCGACUGCUGCUAGAGGUGUAUUUAACCCUUCCAUGUAAACAUUAUGUUUCUACAAAACUGCCAUGUUUUACAUUGAAAGGUUAAAAUGACAGAACCAGCGAUGACGUGGUCUGGGUGCCAUUAGUGUUCCUUUAAAGGGAUACUAUAGUGUUAGGAAUACCAAGUUGUAUACCUAACACUAAAGUUCCCUCUAGUCCUUCCCCCUCAUGCCCCCGGCUUGACUUUAUUUGCUCACUUGAUUCCAGCACCGAUGUCCCUCAGCGCGAUGUCCCUAUGACAUUAUACGACAGAGGGACCUAAUGCGAGCACUGCGAGAGCAUUGUGCCCUCUACAUAAGAAAGUAUUGCUUCAAUGCUUUCCUGUAGGGAUUAUACUGAUACUGUAUUUCCUCAUGCACAGCAUGAAGACGACCUGCAUCAUUUAGGCGACCUAGAGUUCAUUAAGAUGCCAGAAGCGCCUCUAGAGUACUGCAAUGGAAACCUUGCUGUUUCUUGAAAACUGCAACAUUUUACAGUGCAGGAUUAAGGGGGACAGGGACACUGCCCCUUGUCCACUUCAAUGAGCUGAAGUAGUCUGGGUGCCUAUAGUGUCCCUUUAAGCCACAUUAAAAUCAUCUCUCUUUAAUGGCAGCAGUAAGGCAAAGGUGAACAAAUUGUGGGUCUCUAGUUGUAAUAAAAUUACAUUCCCAUGAUGCUUUGCAUCUUAAAUAAUAUUGUGACCUAAAUGUUGCACAUUCCCCACUGCUCAUGGCUUAUUGUAUAAACCCAAGUCAUUUAAAUCAUAAUGUGCUCAUAUAUUCAAGUAUGUGAAUAUUUUUUUUAGAGUUAAAUGGACUUGUGCAUUCAUCAGACAGCCAAUUAUGAUAUUUAUAAAUCUUUUAGAAAACAACUAUUUUACAAAGCAUUUACUUUUGCCGAUGAAUUUUAAUAUGAAAUUAUAUUCCAAAAUUAUUUUUAAAU